rnacentral:rRNA from 1 species
CAGUAGCCGCGGUAAUACAGAGGGUGCGAGCGUUAAUCGGAUUUACUGGGCGUAAAGCGUGCGUAGGCGGCUUCUUAAGUCGGAUGUGAAAUCCCUGAGCUUAACUUAGGAAUUGCAUUCGAUACUGGGAAGCUAGAGUAUGGGAGAGGAUGUUAGAAUUCCAGGUGUAGCGGUGAAAUGCGUAGAGAUCUGGAGGAAUACCGAUGGCGAAGGCAGCCAUCUGGCCUAAUACUGACGCUGAGGUACGAAAGCAUGGGGAGCAAACAGGAUUAGAUACCCCUGUAGUCCCUGUCUCUUAUAC